rnacentral:snRNA from 1 species
AUACUGACGUGCAAAUCG